rnacentral:rRNA from 1 species
GUGGGGAAUAUUGGACAAUGGGCGAAAGCCUGAUCCAGCCAUGCCGCGUGUGUGAAGAAGGUCUUCGGAUUGUAAAGCACUUUAAGUUGGGAGGAAGGGCAGUAAGUUAAUACCUUGCUGUUUUGACGUUACCGACAGAAUAAGCACCGGCUAACUUCGUGCCAGCAGCCGCGGUAAUACGAAGGGUGCAAGCGUUAAUCGGAAUUACUGGGCGUAAAGCGCGCGUAGGUGGUUUUGUAAGUUGGAGGGGAAAUCCCCGGGCUCAACCUGGGAACUGCCUCCAAAACUGCAUGACUAGAGUACGGUAGAGGGUAGUGGAAUUUCCUGUGUAGCGGUGAAAUGCGUAGAUAUAGGAAGGAACACCAGUGGCGAAGGCGACUACCUGGACUGAUACUGACACUGAGGUGCGAAAGCGUGGGGAGCAAACAGGAUUAGAUACCCGGGUAGUCC